GAAGUGGCUACACCAGGGAAGUAAAUGCAUCUCACUCUCUGAAAGCACUAACUACCUAAAGAUCCUUAGGGAGCCAUAGGAUUUCACAAGCCCCUGGCAACUGUUAACUUUCCAAAAAUUCUCAGGAAUGGGUAUGUGGCUUGUGAGCAUUCUAUCCUCUCCAUGACAGAUGAUAAGGGCCCAAUAUUCUGCAGAUAAUAACAGCUGCUGAGAUUUCAGGCUUGCAGAAGCUAUGUCAUGUCCAAAAGAGAAUUCAGUCCAUACCACUCCACCCUUUCCUCUACCUCUUAUAGUCUUUCUUUACUUUCUUCCAUGGAGUUCCCUGACCCAUGGAGGGGGUGAUAUGCAUGUCUCAUUUAAGGCUUGAAUUCAGCAAUCACAUACUCUCAACACUUUGGCCACUUAAGAAUCUCUGCAGUAACCAUGAAAUUUUCAGGCAAAUGGUGGGAACUGGAAAAGAUCAUCCUGAGUGAGGUAUCCCAGAAUCAGAAAGACACACAGGUUAUAUACUCACUCAUAAGUGGGUAUUAGACAUAUAAUAUAGGAUAAACAUACUAAAAUCUGUAUACCUAAAGAAACUAAUCAAGAAAGAAGACUCUGGCUAAGACGCUUAAUCCUCAUUCAGAAAGAGAAAGAGGAUGGACAUCAAAAGAGGGAGAAAACAGGGAAAAGGACAUAGAGCCUACCACAAAGGGCCUACCACAAAGACUCUACCCUGCGGGGUAUCAACUCAGAUACUGAGACUUAUGGCUAAACUUUGGGCAGAGCACAUGGAAUCUUAUGAAAGAAGUGGGUAAGACCUGGAGAGGACAGGAGCUCCACAAGGAGAACAGAAACAAAAAAUCUGGGCACAGGGGUCUUUUCUGAGACUCAUACUCCAACCAAUGACCAUUCAUGGAGAUAACCUAGAUAACCCCUGCUCAGCUGUAGCCUAUGGCAGCUCAGUAUCCAAGUGGGUUCCCUAGUAAAGGGAACAGGGACUAUCUCUAACAUGAACUCAGUGUCUGGCUCUUUAAUCACCUCCCCCUGAGAGGGGAGCAACCUUACCAGUCCACAGAGGAAGAAAAUGCAGCCACUCCUGAUGAGACCUGAUAGACCAGGGUCAUAGGGAAGGGGAGGAGGACCUCCCUUAUCAGUGGACUGGGGGAGGGGCAUGGGUGGAGAAGAGGAAGUGAGGAUGAGAUUGGUAGGGGAGGAGGGAGAGAGCUACAGGUGGGAAGCAAAGUGAAUAAACUGUAAUUAAUAAAAAUAUAAAUUAAAAAAAGAAAGAAAAGAAUCUCUGCAGUAACUGUUACCAGACACUUCUUUGACUGAAUCCAACAGCAGCACUGAUUUAUUGGCAUAAAAAUGAAUACUUGAAAGAACCAUAUACCCAUUUUUGUCAUUUUAAUGUGCUAAAAUAUACAAAAGUGAACACAGAAACCAUUCCACAGAAGCUUGAUUAUUAUCAUCAUCAAUUAAGAGCUUUGAUCCUAGUAAUAAUAUUUACUGCUACCACCAUCUCCUCUUGACAUUUGGACCUUCUUGCCACAACUGGAAUGAAGUAUAUUCACUGAUAACUAGUGGACAGUGCUCCAGGAUGCUGCUAAACCUGCUAAAAUGUGCAAAUAGCUCCUCACUAAAAGAAUUAUCUGGGCCACACCAGCCGUAAUCCAGAGCUUCAGAAAUCCUGCUUUGGAAGUAGGUACAUCUACAUACAUUUACUUGUACAUAUGUACACUUAUAUUUAUGCAAGCUGAACUCUGUGGGUUGAUGUAGCAGAGCAGGGAACAUUUAAAUUUCAUCUUUUAACAAAUUCUUCAGUAGCUCGAUCUUUUCCUUUGUUUCUUGAAACAUUUCCACUGUAUCCAUUAUGUUCAGCCUCAAUAAACAAUAAACUUGCCAUUGUUAGACUACAGGUUUCUUCUUAAAGCUAGUAUGCUCAACAAGCUAGGUAAAAUUGGUGACUUGCAACCAAAUUCUCCACUCUAAAAGGACUUUCUGGGGGGAAAGGCUGGUCCAGACACUCUAAGAAUGAGAGUGGAGGUGAGAGGAAUGAAGAGCCCAGUUUACUGGGAUCUGCAAUUCAAACAACUCAGCAUGCAGUUACUGUGCUUUUAAUUUCCUUGUAUUGAUGGUUUCUUCAGUACUUGGAGCCACAAGUUGUAGAUGAUGGCUUAGCGUUGGGGCCUGAAACUCUGGGUAAAUUUGGUCCUUACAAGAACAGCCCAUGCCAGCUGGUCAAGCAAGCAUAGUUGUAGAUGAUGGCUCAGCAUUGGGUCCUGAAACGCUGGGUGAAUUUGGUCCUUUUACAAAAAUAGUCCAUGCCAGCCAGUCAAGCAAGCAUAAUACCCUUUAAGUCUGGCAUCCACAUGCAGAUUCAGUGUCCUUUCCAGGUGGAUGUACACCUACUGAUUAUCUUCCAGGAAGCAAAACCCAGGUGCAAGCACAGAUUGAAUUCUGAAUAACUUGGAUGGAGAACUUCCAAAUGUCUCAGUCAUCACUUGGAUUUUGCAUUUUGUCAGCAAUGAAGCAGUAACUACUAGUCCAGUGCAGCUCAGUGGCAGAGACCUGGCCUUAUAUGCAGGAGGAUCUGAGUUCAAUCCCUAGAAUCAGACAUUACAACUUCCAAAAAGAUCCACUGACAUGAUAUAUGCUACAAGUUUCCACAACUACGGAGUCUUAGCUUCCAGGCCUCCUUCCAUUGUAGAUUACGUUUUCUUCAAUGACAGGAGCCUAACUUGACUGUCAUCUGGGACGCUCCAGCCAACAGCAGAUAGACACAGAUGGUGGGACUUUCAGCCAAAUGGAACUCUGGAGGUCCUGUGGAAGUGCUGGGGAAAAGAUGGAAGGACCUGGAGGGAACAGGAACCUCACAAGAAGACCAACAGAGACAAAUAACCCAGUCACAUGGGGGCUUUCGGAGACUGAGACAUCAACUAAAGAGCAUGCAUGCUCUGGACUUAGGCCUCCUGCACAUAUGUGGUCGAUGGGCAGCUUGAUUUUCAUAUGGGGUACCCGGCUAGCGGAGGUGAGCUGUUUCUAACAUGGACUCUAUUGCCUGCUUUUGGAUCACUUCCUCCUAGCAGGGCUGCCUUGCAUAUCCUCAGGAGAUAAGGAUAUGAUCAGUCCUGAUGUGACUUGAUGUGACCUUCUGAGGAAGGUUAAUACAGGGGGCUCCCCUUUUCUGGGGGAAAAGGGAGAGGGGAAGGAGGGGAAGAGAGGGGACUGGAAGGAGGGCAGGGAGAGGGCAUCCUCAGGAUGUAAAGAAAAUAAAAUAACAUAAAGUUUAAAAUAAAUAAUCUGAUGUCAUCUUCUGGCCUCAGUCACACGUGUUCAUCGAUAGAGGGAAAAUACCCAUACAUGUUGUUUUAGUCAGUGUUCUAUUGCUGUGAAGAGACACCAUGACCAUAGCAAAUCUUAUAAAAGAAAGGAUUUCACUGGGGCUUCCUUACAGUUUUAGAGGUUCAGUACAUUAUCCUCAUGAUGGGGAGCAUGGUGGAACACAAGCAAAUACAGUAGCUGAGAGUUUUACAUCUGGAAGUGAAGGCAGCAGGAAGAGAGAGAGACAUUGGCCUGGUGUGGGCUUUUGAAAUCCUAAUCCCCCCCCCCCCGUGACACUUCCUCCAAUGAGGCCAUACCUCCUAAUCUUUCUAAUCAUUUUAAAUAGUGGCCUCCCUGAUGACUAAGCAUUCCAAUAUAUGAGCCUAUAUAGAGCCAUUCUUAUACAAAACCACAAUCCCAUUGAUCAGAUACAAUGCUAAAUAGAUUCUGUGUAACGGACUACCCUACUUUCUCCUCUGGGAUAAAGCUGCAGUCUUCAUGGACCCAGAGACCCUUUGAUGUCCAUUCCCUCAAAUUUUUCUAAUGAAUUUAGUUUGGGGAGCCAUGGAUUCAAACAUAUUAAAAGACCCCCACAUUCUUUCUGCUGCGUUGACAGCUGAUCCUAUAGACUCGCAGAUUCCAUUUUUCUUCUUUCUGGUACUUUCUAAAUUAGCCCAGCAACAGCCCCACAAUUCACUAAGUUUAGAAAAUCCACCCUUCUUCAGCUCACCCAAAACAUAUAUCUCUUCCUUAAUCAUUGGAAAGAUUCAGGAAGACCAUUCCACCUUUGGUAAUUACCUCACCCACUUCAAAACAUAUCACAUGAAAAAGUUAUGUUUCAGAACAUUGUAGCAUAGUGUGUCCUAGUCCUAGGGCAGGACAUGCUUUAGAUCAAGCUUUCACUGUCAACUUGGCAUCAUUGUCAUAUCCUGCCUCAAAGCGAAACUUGAAUUCUGAGGCACUUUGGGAUGGCUCCCACCCUCUUGUGACUCAAGUUUCAGAAGAUCCAAAUCAUCUUCUGGCUUCCUCAAGUAUCGGCACACAUGUGCACGUGAAGUCACAUGCAUACAUUUACAAGAAAAAGUAAUGAUGCUGGUGCACGCCUGUAAUCCCAGCACUUGGGAAACAAAGGCAGACAGACCUCUGUGAGUUCAAGGCCAGCCUGGUCUACAGAGUGAGACAGUUUAUUGUACAUUCCCUCAAAUUUUCCCAGGGAACUCAAUUUGGGGAGCCAGAGUUAUGAAGGGAGACCCUGUCUCAAAAAAAAAAGUUUAAUACAAGUAUUAAGAAAGGGUUACUGAGUAAGAAAAUGCUUACUGACAAAAGAACAAACUUAGUGAUUAGAAGCUUGAAUAAGUGACUAUAAAGGGUCAAAAACUAGCAUAAAUAUCUGAGGAUCUCUUUCAAACAAUUGAAAAGCUGACAGUAGAUGUGAGGUUAAUUGUGGAAGAGACAGGGCAUAUUCAGAAGGAGAAGGGGUUAGAAGGAAGGAUGAUGGCAGAUGAAAUGUGAGGAAACUAUAAUUAUAUACAUUUAUGAAAAGAUCCUGAAGAAAGACAACAAAAGAUUAAAGAAAGACAACAAAGAUAGCCACAAAAAUUAAUUUAAAGAAUACAUUUGUUUAAAGGAUACUUUUUAACUCCGGAAAUUGAAGCAGGAGAUGCCUAUGAUUUCAGGGCCAGCUCGGCCUGCAUAGCAAUAUAGCAAUAUAGCCCUUGCAAGCCAGGGCUAUAUUGAAAAACCCAAUCUCAAACCAUUAAAAAAGGAAUAUAUAUAUUUUUUUAAUUUUAUCAAUUUAUUUGAUAAACAGAGUGACGUUUUUGUUUUGUAAAACUUCACUGAUAUGUUUAUUUGCUUUCAGAGAAAUGAAUAGUUUUGAUAUACAAAGAUUUAAUAUUCAAAGAUACAAGAUCUUUGCUAAAUUUCUAAUGCAGACAUGUUUGUUUUUUGUCUGUUUAACUUCUUUUUUUCUCAGACUAAACCUCUUAUUUUUAGCACAGGAUGUCUUUAAAAUACUCUCCCUCCUACCUGAGAAUCGCACGUGCUAUGAUUACAGGUUUGUACCACCACAACUGGCUCCCUAAGAUGGAUUUCUUCUGAAAUAGUUCAUAAUUUAUCUUAUCAUAUAAACAAUAAUAAUGCAAAUUCACCUGAAAUACAGUGCAGUGGUUCAUGAUAAGCAUAUGUGUGCACUCAUCAAAUGUGGGUAAUUCAUAUUUCUCUGCCUUUAAAUGUUUAUCAUAUCCACAUGUUUGACAAAGCCUUUUGGUUUGUCUUUUCCACUACUGUAUUAACACUACUACAGAAUGAAGCUGGUGCCCCACACAGAUUAGGUAAGUACUCUACUACUAAACUGCACCCACCUAUUUUUAAUCCAUAUUAAGGACAAGUUAUGGAAGAAAAUAAAGCCACCAUAGAUAAAGUGUUGUGAGCAUUAACUAAUGUCACUAAAACUGACAAUAUGGAAUAUUUUUCCUUGGCCUGGAAUAUAGCUCCAGAAUAAAGGUCCUGCUUAAUACCCAUAAGGCCAUUGGUCAGGUGCCACUCUAGAAUAAGACUUACUGACAGAGAUUAAGGUUUUAAUAUGAACAUGAAUGAACAUGAUGAUGAAGUAUAGUUACAUAACAGAAAUCUAAGGAAGAUGGUCCAACAAGUGUGGGACUAGAGUCCAAAGCAUUAACAGAUAGCAAGUACAAGGUCAGACCUGAAUGGCAGCCAAGGCAGAAGAGUCUAUGGAAUAGCAGAAUUAAGGCUCGCAUUUGAAGGAUAUACAAGGUAUAAAGGAGAUGUAGGUCCCAGGUCCAGUGUAGACCAGUGUGGUGAAUUGAAUGAAAAUGGCCACCAUAGUCCCAUAGGGAGUGGCACCAUUGGAGGUGUGGCCUUGUUGAAAUAGGUGUGUACUUGUUGAAGAAAGUAUGUCACUGGGGGUGGGCUUCUCUCAGCUAUCUCUCCAGCACCCUGUCCACCUGCUUGCCACCAUGCUUUCAACCAUGAUCAUCAUGAACUAAAGCUCACAACUGCAAAUCAGCCCCAAUUAAAUGUUUUCUUUUGUAAGAGUUGACAUCAUUGAGGUGUCUCUUCACACAAUAGAAACUCACUUAAGACAAUCAGGAACUGGGUGACAGUGGCAUAUGCCUUUAAUCCCAGUACUCAGGAGGCAAAGGCCAGUGGAUCUCUGUGAGUUCGAGGCCAGCCUGUUCUACAGAGUGAGUUUCAAGAUAGCCAAGGACUACACAAAGAAACUUUGCUUCAGAAAAACAAAAAAGACAACCAGGGACAUGUAAAUUUCUGUGUUGAUCUUUUAAAAACCCAAAGUCAAGUCUAGACUUCAUUAGCAUGUAAUAUAGAGGGUGAUGUGGAGUGAAUUUUGUCAUACACCAUUCAUAGCUAGGAGCCAUAUGUCCCAUGUGAUUCUCCUGGGGGUGAUAGAGGUAAUGUGGUUUCGCAAGGAUAUAUAUCUGAUGAACUGAACUGGGGACCUGUGGAAAAGGAAGAGACAGCAGAAGUGCUGGACUUCAGAAGAAAUUAUAUGGUUCCUCUACUCCUGUUCCCUUCUGCCGUAAAUCUCUCCAAAAUCUUGACUAGAGAAUCCCUGCCUUUGGGAUUCCCUUGUGUGUUGAAGGAGCUGAAUAACUUCAUCUGAUCACUUUUGUGCAUGAAAGAAAAGGGUUGGGGGGAGAGCAAGAGCACUCAUGCAUGAUAUUCUAUAUAUGUGGAUAUCCAUCCACCCUAUUUGAAACAGCCUCUAUUGUUUAUUCUGCUAUAGAUCAGGUUCGUUUGCCCUGGAGCUAAUGAGGAUUUUGCUGUCUCUACCUAUUAAAAUACUGGGAUUACAGCGGGGCACUGGUGGUAUCUACCUUUAAUCCCAGCAGAGGCAGGCAGAUCUCGGAGUUCUUGGCCAGCCUGGUUUACUGAGUGAGUUCCAAGGACAGUCAAUGUUACGCCAUGAAGGGGCUGGAGAGAUGGCUCAAUGAUUAAGAGCAUUGUCUGUUCUUCCAAAAGACCCAGCACCCACAUGACAGCUCACAACUGUCUGUAAUGCCGAUUCCAAGGGAUCUGACCUCUUCACACUAAUGCACAUAAAAUAAAAUUAAAUAUUUUUUUUAAAAAAAAGAAAGAAAGGAAUACUGGGAUUACACACACAGUUACAUCAAGCCAUCUAUAUCUAGUCUCAUCAUGUUUGUGAGAUUUCACAGGAAUCCAGGAGGUUCAUAUUCAGUCUGAGGACCCAUAACAUUGUCUUUUUUAUUAAUUGUUAUUACAUACAUAUAUGGUGGAGUCCUCAAGGAAUGGGAUAUGUUUUUUUUAUAUAUAUAUUCUUGGACAUUGUUCAAGCAUUUACUGUUCAAUGAAGUGUGUUUUCAUGUCUUAAAUUCCUUGGAUUUAUUUAUAAAAUGUGUGAUUGUUCUAUUAAAUUCUGUAUCCUGAGGUUCAUCUAGCUAGUUCUCAUUAAAGAACAUUGCUGUUGGACCAGAUGGUUUGAUGGGCAACAUUCUGUUGGGAAUAUCCAUGUUGGUUUUGUUUUCUUAUAUUUAUCCUGAGCAUAUGGACUUAUUUCUUGAAUUGUGUCAAAUAUGACAAUCUGACCUUCCUUAGGUUGGUCCAGUGCAGGAGAUGAGGGACCUAACGUAAACCAUGUAAAGCUGGUGGAUGGGUUGUUUAAUUGGAUUAGGGAAGGAUAGCUCCUAACGCAAAGGACCGGGGCUAGGUCUGUUGAAGCUGUCAGAGGGGAUGGUGGGAGGGGAAAGAAGAAGGGUCAUCAGUCAAAGGUGGCUCCCAAAGAAAGUACAUUUGCAGCCAGGUACAGUGCUGCAUGCCUGUAAUCCCAGCACUCAGUAAGCAGAGACAGGCAGAUCUCUGUGAGU